ACGAACGCUGGCGGCGUGCCUAAUACAUGCAAGUCGAACGGUCUUUCUAUGGAAGCUUGCUUCCACUGAGAAGAUAGUGGCGAACGGGUGAGUAACACGUGGGUAACCUGCCCAUAAGAGGGGGGAUAACAUCCGGAAACGGGUGCUAAUACCGCAUAGUUUUCUUGAUCGCAUGAUUGAGAAAGGAAAGACGGCCUUUGUGCUGUCGCUUAUGGAUGGACCCGCGGCGUAUUAGUUAGUUGGUGAGGUAACGGCUCACCAAGACGAUGAUACGUAGCCGACCUGAGAGGGUGAUCGGCCACAUUGGGACUGAGACACGGCCCAAACUCCUACGGGAGGCAGCAGUAGGGAAUCUUCCGCAAUGGACGAAAGUCUGACGGAGCGACGCCGCGUGAGUGAAGAAAGGUUUUCGGAUCGUAAAACUCUGUUGUCAGAGAAGAACAAGUUGGAGAGUAACUGCUCCAGCCUUGACGGUAUCUGACCAGAAAGCCACGGCUAACUACGUGCCAGCCGCCGC
rnacentral:rRNA from 1 species